AGAGUUUGAUCAUGGCUCAGGACGAACGCUGGCGGCGCGCCUAACACAUGCAAGUCGAACGGAGUUAUUUUCUUCACUCCGAGCUUUUUGCCAGUUAGCCGGAGCGGCAAUCGGUUUUGCCCAGCAUAAAAAGCAAAACCGAUUUAGGCUCAUAAAGUAAGACUAACACAGAGGGCAGAGAGUUGGGAGUGAAGAAAAUAACUUAGUGGCGAACGGGUGAGUAACGCGUGAGUAACCUGCCCUGGAGUGGGGGACAACAGUUGGAAACGACUGCUAAUACCGCAUAAGCCCACGGCCCGGCAUCGGGCUGAGGGAAAAGGAUUUAUUCGCUUCAGGAUGGACUCGCGUCCAAUUAGCUAGUUGGUGAGGUAACGGCCCACCAAGGCGACGAUUGGUAGCCGGACUGAGAGGUUGAACGGCCACAUUGGGACUGAGACACGGCCCAGACUCCUACGGGAGGCAGCAGUGGGGGAUAUUGCACAAUGGGGGAAACCCUGAUGCAGCGACGCCGCGUGGAGGAAGAAGGUUUUCGGAUUGUAAACUCCUGUCGUUAGGGACGAUAAUGACGGUACCUAACAAGAAAGCACCGGCUAACUACGUGCCAGCAGCCGCGGUAAAACGUAGGGUGCAAGCGUUGUCCGGAAUUACUGGGUGUAAAGGGAGCGCAGGCGGACCGGCAAGUUGGAAGUGAAAACUAUGGGCUCAACCCAUAAAUUGCUUUCAAAACUGCUGGCCUUGAGUAGUGCAGAGGUAGGUGGAAUUCCCGGUGUAGCGGUGGAAUGCGUAGAUAUCGGGAGGAACACCAGUGGCGAAGGCGACCUACUGGGCACCAACUGACGCUGAGGCUCGAAAGCAUGGGUAGCAAACAGGAUUAGAUACCCUGGUAGUCCAUGCCGUAAACGAUGAUUAUCUAGGUGUUGGAGGAUUGACCCCUUCAGUGCCGCAGUUAACACAAUAAGUAAUCC
rnacentral:rRNA from 1 species